GCCCAGGUAGCUCAGCUGGUAGAGCAGCGGACUGAAAAUCCGCGUGUCGGUGGUUCGAUUCCGCCCCUGGGCACCA
rnacentral:tRNA from 2 species